rnacentral:rRNA from 1 species
GCCCCGGUAAACGGCGGCCGUAACUAUAACGGUCCUAAGGUAGCGAAAUUCCUUGUCGGGUAAGUUCCGACCUGCACGAAUGGCGUAAUGAUGGCCAGGCUGUCUCCACCCGAGACUCAGUGAAAUUGAACUCGCUGUGAAGAUGCAGUGUACCCGCGGCAAGACGGAAAGACCCCGUGAACCUUUACUAUAGCUUGACACUGAACAUUGAGCCUUGAUGUGUAGGAUAGGUGGGAGGCUUUGAAGUGUGGACGCCAGUCUGCAUGGAGCCGACCUUGAAAUACCACCCUUUAAUGUUUGAUGUUCUAACGUUGGCCCGUAAUCCGGGUUGCGGACAGUGUCUGGUGGGUAGUUUGACUGGGGCGGUCUCCUCCUAAAGAGUAACGGAGGAGCAC